AUUGAACGCUGGCGGCAGGCCUAACACAUGCAAGUCGAACGAGUGGCGGACGGGUGGGUAAUGUCUGGGAAACUUCCUGAUGGAGGGGGAUAACUAAUGGGAACGGUAGCUACUACCGCCUACCAUCGGAUGUGCCCAGAUGGGAUUAGCUAGUAGGGGGGGUAACGGCGUACCUAGGCGACGAUCCCUAGCGGGUCUGAGAGGAUGACCAGCCACACUGGAACUGAGACACGGUCCAGACUCCUACGGGAGGCAGCAGUGGGGAAGAUUGCACAAUGGGCGAAAGCCUGAUGCAGCCAUGCCGCGUGUAUGAAGAAGGCCUUCGGGUUGUAAAGUACUUUCAGCGGGGAGGCGUUACCAGCAGAAGAAGCACCGGCUAACUCCGUGCCAGCAGCCGCGGUAAUAC
rnacentral:rRNA from 1 species